rnacentral:snoRNA from 1 species
UGCAUAUAUUUGACAAACCUGGAGUAGGGUAUUGUUGCUAGUGUUUCCACUACAGAUGCAAGGAAAAGUGUCCUCCUGCUUUCUUUCUGAUUGUGGCUUCCAAGACUGAAUAGGGGGACUACAUGG